ACGAUAGUGCAAACAGUACUAAUCCUUUGGCUUGGGUGACUUCAACAAAUAUGAAUGAGAAUCAAAUGGAAUGUUGCUCUUCUUCACUCUCCCUGCGGGUGUCUGUCUUCAUAGUGCUAAAAAGCAGAGUCAGCAUUCAAGAAGAAAUUCAUGAAUGCGCUAUGAGUGCCACUGCCAUGCAUGUUUUUGUCUCAUGAAAUUUUAAUUUGCACAAAUUGGGAAACUUCGUAUGGUGCAGCAUAAUCGGAAAACACUUUACCGGGCAUUUAUCAUGGAGAAAGCUCUUCCUAAUGAAGUCCUAAGACCUGUCUCUUACUGGGCGAUAUUUGGUGUAUUGAUCUUUCUUUGUUGAACUUUGUUUGUUCUUGGAUUUUUGGGGCAUUUUCUACACCCUUGUCUUCAAUGAAUUGUUUGACUUGACUUUU